rnacentral:rRNA from 1 species
UAGCAAUACGAGCGGCAGACGGGUGAGUAACGCGUGGGAAUCUACCGUACCCUACGGAAUAGCUCUGGGAAACUGGAGGUAAUACCGUAUACGCCCCCCUUUAAAAUGUCAGAAUCAUAAAAUGCCUCUGGCACUUUAUGGGGGGGAAAGAUUUAUCGGGGUAUGAUGAGCCCGCGUUGGAUUAGCUAGUUGGUGGGGUAAAGGCCUACCAAGGCGACGAUCCAUAGCUGGUCUGAGAGGAUGAUCAGCCACAUUGGGACUGAGACACGGCCCAAACUCCUACGGGAGGCAGCAGUGGGGAAUAUUGGACAAUGGGCGCAAGCCUGAUCCAGCCAUGCCGCGUGAGUGAUGAAGGUCUCAGGAUUGUAAAGCUCUUUCACCGAUGAAGAUAAUGACGGUAGUCGGAGAAGAAGCCCCGGCUAACUUCGUGCCAGCCGCCGCCGGUAA